CACAAGUCGCCGCCUAAUCGCCCUCGCGGGCGAACCGGGGAACCACUUACUUCGGGGCAGGGUGGUCAGCGUUUGCCCACAGGCAUGACCUGCUGACACCAGUUCCGAAUCGGGGUGAAUCGCGUCGACGCGUAUGCGUGUCCUCUCGGGGACACGCCUGUGCCGAAAACGCGUAGGGCCACUCUUCCGGCCCGAACCCGACAGCUAACUCGGUCGGCGGUCGAGGGAGAAUUU
rnacentral:sRNA from 2 species